rnacentral:snoRNA from 1 species
AGGUCCAUUCUAAUUCCUGGCAGGUUGGUGCCAGUACCUGCUAGGUUUCGCUUGUGGACCACAUUAUACUGGAAGACUUUACAUGUGUGUGAGCUUACUCGUGAGUUUGCUCAUGACAUAGUUUUCUGGACAUGU